rnacentral:lncRNA from 1 species
UCGGCACUGGCGCAGGCGUAUGAAGCGAUGAGCACCGUCGGCACCAUCGGCCUCCCGUUGAUAAAAGAAGCGCGUCAAGGCUGAUGAGGCCGCCGGAUCGAAGGAGGGGGGCAUCUCCAUGGCCAAGAAGACGGUGACGCUGUCGCCCCCCAAGAGGACCAGGAUGGUGAAGAUGAAGUUCUUCCACCCGGCGGUCAUCGAUCUGUUCGAGAGGACCCUACUAAUCCCUCCGCGGAUCCCACCGUCGCUGCCCUCGUCCAGACGCAAAUUGAGCUUGAGAGGGACAUCGUUAAGCAGUGCAGGGAGAAGGGGACGUACGCGAAUGUGUCGGUCAUCGACGUGACGGGUAGGGUAGCAGCACUGCAGCAGUGUGAGAUGUUAAUGGUCGGUGCUAAUGGGGUUUUGUCUUAGUAAUUUACAAGAAAACCUUGCGUGUGAUGAUCUAGCUACCCAAAGUUGAACAAUCUUAUGUGAUUAGUGAUCUAAGUGGAACAACCUUGUGUGUGUGAUCUAGGUACCCUAAGUUGUAACGUGUCAGCUUGCUUGUAAUCCGUUCUGAGAUCAAUCUACUGGUAUAACAUCAGAAAGAGAAAAAAAAACAGCAACACGUUCACUAUCGAGUAUCGGCUGCA